CCUACGGGGGGCAGCAGUGGGGAAUAUUGGACAAUGGGGGCAACCCUGAUCCAGCCAUGCCGCGUGUGUGAAGAAGGCCCUCGGGUUGUAAAGCACUUUCAGUGAGGAAGAACGCCUGGUGGUUAAUACCCAUCAGGAAAGACAUCACUCACAGAAGGAGCACCGGCUAACUCCGUGCCAGCAGCCGCGGUAAUACGGAGGGUGCGAGCGUUAAUCGGAAUUACUGGGCGUAAAGCGCGCGUAGGUGGCUUGAUAAGCCGGUUGUGAAAGCCCCGGGCUCAACCUGGGAACGGCAUCCGGAACUGUCAAGCUAGAGUGCAGGAGAGGAAGGUAGAAUUCCCGGUGUAGCGGUGAAAUGCGUAGAGAUCGGGAGGAAUACCAGUGGCGAAGGCGGCCUUCUGGACUGACACUGACACUGAGGUGCGAAAGCGUGGGUAGCAAACAGGAUUAGAUACCCCAGUAGUC
rnacentral:rRNA from 1 species